GACAGAGGUGCCGAGCGUUAGGCGGAAUCACUGGGCUUAAAGCGUGUGUAGGCGGAUCGUUAAGUACCUUGUGAAAUCCCACGGCUUAACCGUGGAACUGCUGGGUAUACUGGCGAUCUUGAGCCACCUAGGGGCAACCGGAACAAAUGGUGGAGCGGUGAAAUGCGUAGAUAUCGGAAGGAACACCAGUGGCGAAAGCGGCUUCCUGGUCCAGCACCGACGUCAGGCACGAAAGCGUGGGGAGCAAACAGG
rnacentral:rRNA from 1 species